GCAGUUUUAUUUCCACAUAUGAGUAUUUGUGAAUUUCCCAAAAUGUGGCAACUCUCAAACUUGUGAUUUUCAUUGAAUUGCCUUCUCACACAGUGACUACUCUCUUACCUAUAAACAUCAUGCUUUUUAAAGAGAAGGGUAAGAGCACAUGGAAAAAACCAACAAAUAUAAAAGUAUUAAUAUGACAAAUCACACAUUCAUAAACACAUAUUGAAAAUAAUCAACCUAUCUUUCUCAGAAUUAAUACAUAACAUAUAUGAAUUAGUAAAGAAAAUAUAAGCAGAGUAAGUCAUUUUCUAAAAAAAAUUAAAAAGUUCUCUUUGCUAGAAGAAAAAAUUGUUCCAUCGACUGGACUAGAAAGAUAGAUUUU
rnacentral:lncRNA from 1 species